CUUCGGGUUGUAAAGCUCUUUUGUCAGGGAAGAAACACCGGCUCUAACACAGUCCGGGAAUGACGGUACCUGAAGAAUAAGCACCGGCUAACUACGUGCCAGCAGCCGCGGUAAUACGUAGGGUGCAAGCGUUAAUCGGAAUUACUGGGCGUAAAGCGUGCGCAGGCGGUUAUACAAGACAGGCGUGAAAUCCCCGGGCUUAACCUGGGAAUGGCGCCUGUGACUGUAUAGCUAGAGUGUGUCAGAGGGGGGUAGAAUUCCACGUGUAGCAGUGAAAUGCGUAGAUAUGUGGAGGAAUACCAAUGGCGAAGGCAGCCCCCUGGGAUAACACUGACGCUCAUGCACGAAAGCGUGGGGAGCAAACAGGAUUAGAUACCCUGGUAGUCCACGCCCUAAACGAUGCUGACUAGUUGUUCGGGAUUUACAUCCUGAGUAACGUAGCUAACGCGUGAAGUCAG
rnacentral:rRNA from 1 species